CAUUCGAAAUGCAAGAAGUUGAAAGUCUAACCGCGAGAAGCCGCAAGAAGUUGAAAAUCUCACCGCAAGAAGCCGCAAGAACUUAUGAAGAAGUUGCUGCAGGUCAAACUGUCUGUUCUUUUAUAUUUACAGGGUGUAUGUGCGUUGUAUAUAAUUUAUGGCAAUGGUCUCCUUUGGGGCUUAAAAUAGAAUUUCAAUCAAAGAAUUUCUGUUCUCUUUACAGAUAUCAAGCCUGCCAAUGUUUUCAUAACAGCAUCUGGUGUGGUGAAACUUGGUGACUUAGGGCUUGGAAGAUUUUUUAGCUCCAAGACAACAGCAGCUCAUUCUCUUGUGGGAACACCUUAUUACAUGUCACCAGAGAGAAUACAUGAAACUGGAUACAAUUUCAAGUCUGAUAUUUGGUCUUUAGGUUGUCUAUUAUAUGAGAUGGCUGCCCUCCAAUCGCCAUUUUAUGGCGAUAAAAUGAAUUUGUACUCACUGUGUAAGAAGAUAGAAUCAUGUGAUUAUCCACCUCUGCCGGCAGAGCAUUAUUCUCAAGAGGUAUGUUAAUUCAUAACUUUGGUAUCUCCAGUUGCUAAUAAUAAAUGGUAUCAACAAGAUUCUACAUGUUGGGUUUUGUAUUAUAAGCUUGCCAGUGGAGUAAAUUUUUGCAGAACUUUGUUUGAAGAUCUUGGAAAAUAAAACACAAAAACUGCAGAAUUAAGAGCCUUCAAAAAUUUCAUGUCUCACGGUAGUACGUAGCAUUUCCUAGUUUUACAAUAUUCUGUUAUAGG